rnacentral:rRNA from 1 species
UGGUACCUCCGGUGUCCGCGUUGUAACCUCGAGACGUGUUUUCCGUGCGGCUCUAUGGACAAGUUCCUUGGAACAGGGCAUCGUAGAGGGUGAAAAUCCCGUACUUGCCAUGGAUGUACCGUGCUUUGCGAUACGUGCUCUAAGAGUCGAGUUGUUUGGGAUUGCAGCUCAAAAUGGGUGGUAGACUCCAUCUAAAGCUAAAUAUCGGGGAGAGACCGAUAGCGAACAAGUACCGUGAGGGAAAGAUGAAAAGCACUUUGGAAAGAGAGUUAAAAGUACGUGAAAUUGUCGAAAGGGAAGC